rnacentral:rRNA from 1 species
CCUACGGGUGGCAGCAGUGGGGAAUAUUGGGCAAUGGGCGCAAGCCUGACCCAGCAACGCCGCGUGAAGGAAGAAGGCCCUCGGGUUGUAAACUUCUUUUAUCAGGGACGAAGCAAGUGACGGUACCUGAUGAAUAAGCCACGGCUAACUACGUGCCAGCAGCCGCGGUAAUACGUAGGGGGCAAGCGUUAGCCGGAUUUACUGGGUGUAAAGGGUGUGUAGGCGGGAAAGCAAGUCAGAUGUGAAAACCAUGGGCUCAAACUGUGGCCUGCAGUUGAAACUGUUUGUCUUGAGUACUGGAGAGGCAGACGGAAUUCGUGGUGUAGCGGUGAAAUGCGUAGAUAUUAGGAAGAACACCGAUGGCGAAGGCAGUCUGCUGGACAGCAACUGACGCUGAGGCGCGAAAGCGUGGGGAGCAAACAGGAUUAGAUACCCUAGUAGUC